CAGUCGCCACGGUAAUACGUAGGUGGCAAGCGUUGUCCGGAAUUAUUGGGCGUAAAGCGCGCGCAGGCGGAUCAGUUAGUCUGUCUUAAAAAUUCGGGGCCUAACCCCGUGAUGGGAUGGAAACUGCUGAUCUAGAGUAUCGGAGAGGAAAGUGGAAUUCCUAGUGUAGCGGUGAAAUGCGUAGAUAUUAGGAAGAACACCAGUGGCGAAGGCGACUUUCUGGACGAAAACUGACGCUGAGGCGCGAAAGCCAGGGGAGCGAACGGGAUUAGAUACCCGUGUAGUCCCUGUCUCUUAUACA
rnacentral:rRNA from 1 species